rnacentral:tRNA from 1 species
GUUUCCGUGGUGUAGCGGUUAUUACGUGCGCCUCACACGCGCAAGGUCCCCGGUUCGAUACCAGGCGGAAACA